UAUGAUCGUUCACUUUUUGUGUUUAUCGUCAGGACUACGAGGGUGCAAGUGAACGGUUCUUGGAUGGACUCAAAUUGGACCCAGUGGACACUGACAUCGAGGAUGCAUUACGGGAAGCUAUGAAGUCCUUGAAGACGUCUCAGAGCACGAAAGCCAGGUGACUAUUUGGGUGUUGCAGGGGAGUCAGUUGAAGACUUGGAACGGCUCAGGAGUUUCUUCAUUUGCGCAAAGACUGGUUUCCUUUGUUAGAAAGUACAGCGGAGUGUCCGAUGGGAGUAUUACCAUUGCAUGUUUCCCUAAUAUCAGAUACUACAGCACAGUAGUACUGUAUCUGACAAUUUCUCUAUAUAGAACUGCAGUAUAUAUUUUUUUACAGAGGGUUGUAGUAUAUGGCAAUUCUUUCUCUA